rnacentral:lncRNA from 1 species
UAGGCUGUUGUUAGGUUGCUUUUAGGAUGCUGUUAAAAUGCAAUUAGGCUGUGGUUAGGUUGCUGUUAGGCUGCUGUUAGGCUGUUAGGAUGUGGUUAGGUUGCUGUUAGGCUGUUAGGAUGUGAUUAGGUUGCUGUUAGGAUGCUGUUCAGAUGCUGUUAGCCUGCUGUUAGGAUGCUGUUAGGCACAUUUUAGGAUGCUGUUAGGCUGCUGUUAGGAUGCUGUUAGGAUGCUGUUAGGUUGCUGUUAGGAUGCUGUUAGGUUGCUGUUAGGUUGCUGUUAGGCUGCUGUUAGGAUGCUGUUAGGUUGCUUUCCAG